rnacentral:rRNA from 1 species
CCUACGGGUGGCACCAGUAGGGAAUCUUCGGCAAUGGGGGCAACCCUGACCGAGCAACGCCGCGUGAGUGAAGAAGGUUUUCGGAUCGUAAAGCUCUGUUGUAAGUCAAGAACGGGUGUGAGAGUGGAAAGUUCACACUGUGACGGUAGCUUACCAGAAAGGGACGGCUAACUACGUGCCAGCAGCCGCGGUAAUACGUAGGUCCCGAGCGUUGUCCGGAUUUAUUGGGCGUAAAGCGAGCGCAGGCGGUUUGAUAAGUCUGAAGUUAAAGGCUGUGGCUCAACCAUAGUUCGCUUUGGAAACUGUCAAACUUGAGUGCAGAAGGGGAGAGUGGAAUUCCAUGUGUAGCGGUGAAAUGCGUAGAUAUAUGGAGGAACACCGGUGGCGAAAGCGGCUCUCUGGUCUGUAACUGACGCUGAGGCUCGAAAGCGUGGGGAGCGAACAGGAUUAGAUACCCCGGUAGUC